UCUCCAAUAGCUCAGUUGGUAGAGCGUCUGACUGUUAAUCAGAAUGUCGUAGGUUCAAGCCCUACUUGGGGAG
rnacentral:tRNA from 1 species